UGCCAGCCGCCGCGGUAAAACGUAGGACGCAAGCGUUAUCCGGAAUUACUGGGCGUAAAGCGCGCGCAGGCGGGCUGGUCAGUCAGCUAUGAAAGCUCCCGGCUAAACUGGGAGAGGAUGGUUGAAACUGCCAGUCUGGAGUACAGCAGAGGAACGUGGAAUUCCGCGUGUAGUGGUGAAAUGCGUAGAGAUGCGGAGGAACACCAGUGGCGAAGGCGGCGUUCUGGGCUGCUACUGACGCUGAGGCGCGAAAGCAUGGGGAGCGAACGGGAUUAGAUA
rnacentral:rRNA from 1 species